rnacentral:rRNA from 1 species
UACGGAGGAUGCGAGCGUUAUCCGGAUUUAUUGGGUUUAAAGGGUGCGUAGGCGGGCUGUUAAGUCAGCGGUCAAAUGUCGGGGCUCAACCCGCGGACGGCACAUGAUACUGCGAGACUAGAGUAAUGGAGGGGGAACCGGAAUUCUCGGUGUAGCAGUGAAAUGCGUAGAUAUCGAGAGGAACACUCGUGGCGAAGGCGGGUUCCUGGACAUUAACUGACGCUGAGGCACGAAGGCCAGGGGAGCGAAAGGG